rnacentral:rRNA from 1 species
UACGGAGGGUGCGAGCGUUGUCCGGAAUCAUUGGGCGUAAAGGGCGCGUAGGUGGCCCGGUCAGUUCGUGGUGAAAGCGCGGGGCUCAACCCUGCGUCGGCCAUGAAUACUGCCGCGGCUGGAGCACUGUAGAGGCAGGCGGAAUUCCGGGUGAGCGGUGGAAUGCGUAGAGAUCCGGAAGAACACCGGUGGCGAAGGCGGCCUGACUGGGCC